UGGUGGAGCGAUUUGUCUGGUUAAUUCCGUUAACGAACGAGACCUCAGCCUGUUAAUUAGAUUCGUCAAUGUUUUCAUUGGUCGUGGUCUUCUUAGAGGGACUAUCGGUUUUUAGCCGAGGGAAGUAUGAGGCAAUAACA
rnacentral:rRNA from 1 species